CUACGCACUCCUACGGGGAGGCAGCAGUGGGGAAUAUUGCACAAUGGGCGCAAGCCUGAUGCAGCCAUGCCGCGUGUAUGAAGAAGGCCUUCGGGUUGUAAAGUACUUUCAGCAGUGAGGAAGGUGGAUAUGUUAAUAGCAUAUUCAUUUGACGUUAGCUGCAGAAGAAGCACCGGCUAACUCCGUGCCAGCAGCCGCGGUAAUACGGAGGGUGCGAGCGUUAAUCGGAAUUACUGGGCGUAAAGCGCAUGCAGGUGGUUUGUUAAGUCAGAUGUGAAAGCCCGGGGCUCAACCUCGGAAUUGCAUUUGAAACUGGCAAACUAGAGUACUGUAGAGGGGGUAGAAUUUCAGGUGUAGCGGUGAAAUGCGUAGAGAUCUGAAGGAAUACCGGUGGCGAAGGCGGCCCCCUGGACAGAUACUGACACUCAGAUGCGAAAGCGUGGGGAGCGAACAGGAUUAGAUACCCUGGUAG
rnacentral:rRNA from 1 species